rnacentral:misc_RNA from 1 species
GCAAACUUGGUCAUUUAGAGGAAGUAAAAGUCGUAACAAGGUUUCCGUAGGUGAACCUGCGGAAGGAUCAUUACAAGGUUAAAUUGUCUCUCCCGAAAGGGUGAGGCAACCACCUGAUCAACCAUUGUGUGCAUUAAUUGAAACUGAGCUUUGGCAGGAUGUCUCUCGAUAUUCUGCCAGGAGCAAAUUAAAAACAUUUGCCUGACCAUUUGACUGAUACUAUAAAUAUACCAAACUUAUACAACUUUCAACAACGGAUCUCUUGGCUCUCGCAUCGAUGAAGAACGCAGC